UACGGGGGGGGGCAAGCGUUGUUCGGAAUUACUGGGCGUAAAGGGCGCGCAGGCGGCGAGUUUUGUCAGGCGUGAAAGCCCCGGGCUCAACCUGGGAAUUGCGCUUGAAACGGGCUUGCUAGAGAUCGGGAGAGGAGAGUGGAAUUCCCAGUGUAGAGGUGAAAUUCGUAGAUAUUGGGAAGAACACCGGUGGCGAAGGCGGCUCUCUGGACCGAUACUGACGCUGAGGCGCGAAAGCGUGGGGAGCAAACAGG
rnacentral:rRNA from 1 species